GAUGAAGAACGCAGCGAAAUGCGAUAAGUAAUGUGAAUUGCAGAAUUCAGUGAAUCAUCGAAUCUUUGAACGCACAUUGCGCCCGCUGGUAUUCCGGCGGGCAUGUCUGUUCGAGCGUCAUUUCAACCCUCAAGCUCUCCGGAGUUUGGUGUUGGGGCGCCUGGGGCUUUUCGACCUCAGGGCCCUCAAGUCCAUCGGCGGGACCGCCAGGACACUGAGCGCAGUAGUAUUAUUUCGCUCGGUAGGAUCUUCCACGGCGGGUCGAUCUGGCCGCUAAACCCCCCAAUUCUCACCAAAGGUUGACCUCGGAUCAGGUAGGAAUACCCGCUGAACUUAAGCAUAUCAAUAAGCGGAGGA
rnacentral:misc_RNA from 1 species